rnacentral:rRNA from 1 species
GACGAACCGUCCUAACGUUGUUCGGAAUCACUGGGCUUAAAGGGCGCGUAGGCGGGCCGCCAAGUCUGAGGUGAAAUCUUUCGGCUUAACCGGAAAAUAGCCUUGGAUACUGGCGAUCUCGAGGGUGGUAGGGGCAUGUGGAACUUCCGGUGGAGCGGUGAAAUGCGUUGAUAUCGGAAGGAACGCCGGUGGCGAAAGCGACGUGCUGGACCACUACUGACGCUGAGGCGCGAAAGCCAGGGGAG